rnacentral:rRNA from 1 species
AUUGAACGCUGGCGGCAGGCCUAACACAUGCAAGUCGAGCGAGCGGCGGACGGGUGAGUAAUGUCUGGGAAACUGCCUGAUGGAGGGGGCUAACUCCUGGAAACGGUAGCUAAUACCGCAUACCAUCAGAUGUGCCCCGAUGGGGUUAGCUAGUAGGGGGGGUAACGGCUCACCUAGGCGACGAUCCCUAGCUGGGCUGAGAGGAUGACCAGCCACACUGGAACUGAGACACGGCCCAGACUCCUACGGGAGGCAGCAGGGGGGAAUAUUGCACAAUGGGCGAAAGCCUGAUGCAGCCAUGCCGCGUGUAUGAAGAAGGCCUUCGGGUUGUAAAGUACUUUCAGCGGUGAGGCGUUACCCGCAGAAGAAGCACCGGCUAACUCCGUGCCAGCAGCCGCGGUAAUAC